CAAUGGGUCUAGAGAUUGAAAACACAAGCGACAUACCGGCGCUGAAAAAAAGUUGAGUAAACAACACUCGCCUGUGAAUACCCUAUAUCCUGCUCUUACCGCCAAAAGGAUCAACAGCAUGUACAACUGGUAAAAGAACACUGAUGAUGGCCAAGGAAGUUGCACAGAACUUCCCCAACAUCCCCUCCCAAAUUGAUAUAGAACCUUCACAAAAAACACAUGGAGCAUCUGCGAAAAGAAAUGGCUGAGGAUUUACUAAAAAUGUCUGAGUUCAACAAAGCCAAGAACUGUUUCAUGUGUGCCACUGACAAAGAACCUGCAUGUGGCCCAAAGACUGACUGGAUUGAAUGUUUGGCAUGCCGAUGGUGGUUCCAUGUGCUGUGCCUAGGAAUGAAGACAAAACAGUUCAGAGUGAAGAACACAAACUGGAAGUGUUGUCUGUAUUGUUGAAAAUGUAUUGCUAUACCCCAUCCACACUGAAGAGGCUCUGAAAUGUACAUCAACCAGGGAUAAAGAGAAAGUUAACACUGUGAAAUGAUUUGUACUUAUUUGAAGUAAAGUGUCUGUUGACAUGUCAGAAAAGAUUACAGGUCUGCAAUUUCUGUUUAAUUUUUCAAUAUUCAAUUUUCAUUCAUUGAUUUUCUGGCCACCAUUACUGUGGUUACAUCUUCAGUAUAUGUAUUUCCCAGCAAACCCACUGCA